GCUUGCUGGUGUGGAUGAGUGGCGAACGGGUGAGUAAUACGUGAGUAACCUGCCCUUGACUCUGGGAUAAGCCCGGGAAACUGGGUCUAAUACUGGAUGCUACAUGUCACCGCAUGGUGGUGUGUGGAAAGGGUUUACUGGUCUUGGAUGGGCUCACGGCCUAUCAGCUUGUUGGUGAGGUAAUGGCUCACCAAGGCGACGACGGGUAGCCGGCCUGAGAGGGUGACCGGCCACACUGGGACUGAGACACGGCCCAGACUCCUACGGGAGGCAGCAGUGGGGAAUAUUGCACAAUGGGCGAAAGCCUGAUGCAGCGACGCCGCGUGAGGGAUGACGGCCUUCGGGUUGUAAACCUCUUUCAGCAGGGAAGAAGCCACAAGUGACGGUACCUGCAGAAGAAGCGCCGGCUAACUACGUGCCAGCAGCCGCGGUAAUACGUAGGGCGCAAGCGUUGUCCGGAAUUAUUGGGCGUAAAGAGCUCGUAGGCGGUUUGUCGCGUCUGCUGUGAAAGCCCGGGGCUUAACCCCGGGUGUGCAGUGGGUACGGGCAGACUAGAGUGCAGUAGGGGAGACUGGAAUUCCUGGUGUAGCGGUGGAAUGCGCAGAUAUCAGGAGGAACACCGAUGGCGAAGGCAGGUCUCUGGGCUGUUACUGACGCUGAGGAGCGAAAGCAUGGGGAGCGAACAGGAUUAGAUACCCUGGUAGUCCAUGCCGUAAACGUUGGGCACUAGGUGUGGGGGACAUUCCACGUUUUCCGCGCCGUAGCUAACGCAUUAAGUGCCCCGCCUGGGGAGUACGGCCGCAAGGCUAAAACUCAAAGGAAUUGACGGGGGCCCGCACAAGCGGCGGAGCAUGCGGAUUAAUUCGAUGCAACGCGAAGAACCUUACCAAGGCUUGACAUAUACCGGAUCGUUCCAGAGAUGGUUCUUCCCCUUUGGGGUCGGUAUACAGGUGGUGCAUGGUUGUCGUCAGCUCGUGUCUUGAAAUGUUGGGUUAAGUCCCGCAACGAGCGCAACCCUCGUUCCAUGUUGCCAGCACGUGAUGG
rnacentral:rRNA from 1 species